rfam:Streptococcus henryi strain A-4 genome assembly, contig: IE83DRAFT_scaffold00035.35
UGAGAAAAGCAGAAGUGAGAACUUCUCGCCUUGCGACUAAGGUUGUCUGGCCCAACAUGUCAAGAUUCCAUUAGGAAUAUUAUGAAUGUGUGCGGGCUUGAUUUAUCAGGUCCGCUUUCGUUUUUCUCU